GUAGGUGGCAAGCGUUGUCCGGAAUUAUUGGGGCGUAAAGCGCGCGCAGGCGGUUCUUCAAGUCUGAUGUGAAAGCCCACGGGCUCAACCGUGGAGGGUCAUUGGAAACUGGAGAACUUGAGUACAGAAGAGGAAAGCGGAAUUCCACGUGUAGCGGUGAAAUGCGUAGAGAUGUGGAGGAACACCAGUGGCGAAGGCGGCUUUCUGGUCUGUAACUGACGCUGAGGCGCGAAAGCGUGGGGAGCAAACAGGAUUAGAUACCCUGGUAGUCCACGCCGUAAACGAUGAGUGCUAAGUGUUAGGGGGUUUCCGCCCCUUAGUGCUGCAGCUAACGCAUUAAGCACUCCGCCUGGGGAGUACGGCCGCAAGGCUG
rnacentral:rRNA from 1 species